rnacentral:rRNA from 1 species
CCUACGGGGGGCAGCAGUGAGGAAUAUUGGUCAAUGGACGAGAGUCUGAACCAGCCAAGUAGCGUGAAGGAUGACUGCCCUAUGGGUUGUAAACUUCUUUUAUAUGGGAAUAAAAUGUUCCACGUGUGGGAUUUUGUAUGUACCAUAUGAAUAAGGAUCGGCUAACUCCGUGCCAGCAGCCGCGGUAAUACGGAGGAUCCGAGCGUUAUCCGGAUUUAUUGGGUUUAAAGGGAGCGUAGGUGGAUUGUUAAGUCAGUUGUGAAAGUUUGCGGCUCAACCGUAAAAUUGCAGUUGAAACUGGCAGUCUUGAGUACAGUAGAGGUGGGUGGAAUUCGUGGUGUAGCGGUGAAAUGCUUAGAUAUCACGAAGAACUCCGAUUGCGAAGGCAGUUCACUGGACUGCAACUGACACUGAGGCUCGAAAGUGUGGGUAUCAAACAGGAUUAGAUACCCUAGUAGUC